UACGUAGGGUGCAAGCGUUAAUCGGAAUUACUGGGCGUAAAGCGUGCGCAGGCGGUGAUGUAAGACAGGUGUGAAAUCCCCGGGCUUAACCUGGGAACUGCAUUUGUGACUGCAUCGCUGGAGUGCGGCAGAGGGGGAUGGAAUUCCGCGUGUAGCAGUGAAAUGCGUAGAUAUGCGGAGGAACACCGAUGGCGAAGGUAAUCCCCUGGGCCUGCACUGACGCUCAUGCACGAAAGCGUGGGGAGCAAACAGG
rnacentral:rRNA from 1 species